rnacentral:rRNA from 1 species
UACAGGGGGUGCAAACGUUGCUCGGAAUCAUUGGGCGUAAAGCGCACGUAGGCGGUUCGUUAUGUCGGAUGUGAAAGCCCUUGGCUUAACCGAGGAAGUGCAUCCGAAACUGGCGAGCUAGAGUACGAAAGAGGAUCGCGGAAUUCCCGGUGUAGAGGUGAAAUUCGUAGAUAUCGGGAGGAACACCGGUGGCGAAGGCGGCGAUCUGGGUCGAUACUGACGCUGAGGUGCGAAAGCGUGGGGAGCAAACAGGAGUUAGAAACCCUUGU